ensembl:misc_RNA Metazoa_SRP Metazoan signal recognition particle RNA
GCCAGGCAUGGUGAUGCAUGCCUAUAGUCCCAGCUACUCAGGAGGCUGAGAUGGGAGGAUUGCUUGAGCCUGGGAGGUUGAGGAUGCAGGGAUUUAUGAUCACACCACUGCACUCCAGCCCAGGCAACAGAGCAACAUCCUGUCUCAA